AUUGAACGCUGGCGGCAGGCCUAACACAUGCAAGUCGAACGGUAGCACAGAGAGCUUGCUCUCGGGUGACGAGUGGCGGACGGGUGAGUAACGUCUGGGAAACUGCCCGAUGGAGGGGGAUAACUACUGGAAACGGUAGCUAAUACCGCAUAACGUCGCAAGACCAAAGUGGGGGACCUUCGGGCCUCACACCAUCGGAUGUGCCCAGAUGGGAUUAGCUAGUAGGUGGGGUAAUGGCUCACCUAGGCGACGAUCCCUAGCUGGUCUGAGAGGAUGACCAGCCACACUGGAACUGAGACACGGUCCAGACUCCUACGGGAGGCAGCAGUGGGGAAUAUUGCACAAUGGGCGCAAGCCUGAUGCAGCCAUGCCGCGUGUAUGAAGAAGGCCUUCGGGUUGUAAAGUACUUUCAGCGGGGAGGAAGGCGGUGAAGUUAAUAACUUCACCGAUUGACGUUACCCGCAGAAGAAGCACCGGCUAACUCCGUGCCAGCCGCCGCCUAA
rnacentral:rRNA from 1 species